rnacentral:rRNA from 1 species
GACGAACGCUGGCGGCGUGCCUAACACAUGCAAGUCGAACGGAGACGAUAGCAAUAUUGUCUUAGUGGCGGACGGGUGAGUAACGCGUGAGUAACCUGCCUUUCGGAGGGGGACAACAGCUGGAAACGGCUGCUAAUACCGCAUAACGUAUAUUGAGGGCAUCCUCGAUAUACCAAAGAUUUAUCGCCGAAAGAUGGACUCGCGUCUGAUUAGCUAGUUGGUGAGGCAAUAGCUUACCAAGGCGAUGAUCAGUAGCUGGUCCGAGAGGAUGAUCAGCCACACUGGGACUGAGACACGGCCCAGACUCCUACGGGAGGCAG